GUGGGGAAUCUUAGACAAUGGGGGCAACCCUGAUCUAGCCAUGCCGCGUGAUCGAUGAAGGCCUUAGGGUUGUAAAGAUCUUUCAGCUGGGAAGAUAAUGACGGUACCAGCAGAAGAAGCCCCGGCUAACUCCGUGCCAGCAGCCGCGGUAAUACGGAGGGGGCUAGCGUUGUUCGGAAUUACUGGGCGUAAAGCGCACGUAGGCGGAUUGGAAAGUUGGGGGUGAAAUCCCGGGGCUCAACCCCGGAACUGCCUUCAAAACUCCCAGUCUUGAGGGCGAGAGAGGUGAGUGGAAUGCCGAGUGUAGAGGUGAAAUUCGUAGAUAUUCGGAGGAACACCAGUGGCGAAGGCGGCUCACUGGCUCGAUACUGACGCUGAGGUGCGAAAGCGUGGGGAGCAAACAGGAUUAGAAACCCUAGUAGUCC
rnacentral:rRNA from 1 species